rnacentral:lncRNA from 10 species
CCCACAACUGCCUCACAAGCAUCCCAGAGUCCAGUCAGCAGACAGCAGAAGAGACUGUCAGCAGACCACCUUGGAGGGGAUGCUUGGAGCUGCCUAACGUGUGAUUCAAAGAUGAAUUCCAUGUGUUUGGAGAAGAAGCCCUAGCCUCAACACAAAGGUUGGCCACAUUCCAGCCAAGGUAGCACGGAGUGAAGGCCCGUGGAGGGAGAGCUGGGCUUUUCUGAACUACUUCAGUACACCUUGCUGUGCCUUGGCCUGCCGUGUUUCAUCCCCAUGGCUGUCCUCAGUGAUGUGCAUGGUCACUGCUCCCUUCACCACUGAGAAGACGGGCACAGGACAGUCAGGGGAUGUGUCCAAGGUCCCACAGCAGGAAGGGCUGGAGCCAGAAUGUGGUCUGAGAGGCUGGAUAUACAAAGAGACAAUGGCAUGACCAUCUGUACAAAUGGAACUAUGGCCCACAACCUGCAGCAGCCAGCCCAGGAAGCCAACCCGUCACCUGCAGCAGCCAGGAUGGAUGCUGGCCUGCCCUCAUGUGGGCUCCACCACCCUCCUGCCUGCUGUGGGAAAUCAG